UUGAGGCGGCACUGACACUGAGGGAGUAGUUCUCCAAUCUUUUACCUUUGCCUCGGACCGCUUUUGAAAAAGCCUGCUGCCAUACCAUCCAAAACACAGUGUUAGCAACGUUGUGCACAGUGUUUUCCCGUCCCGCCGAAACUUCAAUUCAAAUAGGCCUCCAUUAUCUACUGAAUCCAAUGUGCUUAACCAACACACAGCAAAUCUUUACUCAGUUUCUGAACUCAAUUUGACGAAAAAAAAAAAGAAGAAAUGGAAUAUACAGAGAUCGAGACCAACGCAGUGACUCUGGACAAUUCGGUGAUCUUCCAUGUCAUAAAAGAUGUGAUAGGCUUCGUCCUCUACAUGCACCAGCAGAUCCCUUCUGUUUUGCAGGAUAUUCGCCUCGAAUUCGAUUCCCUGAAAGACGAGUACCGUGAACUGGCGGUGGAUCUUGCACAAGCUGAAGCAAUUGCAUCUGUUCGGAGAAAGCAUAUGAGCAGAAUUAGAGAGGUUAAAGUUAGAAUUAGGAGAAUGGAGAAGUUGAUGAAUACAAUUAGUGGCCUUGAAAGUGCAUUGCAACUGAUAAUUAGUGAGAUUCCUAGCCUGGAGAGUUUUAUUUUGGUUCUAGGAGCUAGUCCAAUACGGCCCCAGAAUGUGUAUGAGUUGUGCUUUUCACGCGGAAUACCUGUCCCAAGAGAUGCAAGUGAUUUCGCUAAAACCAAAGCAGCAGAAGGGCUUUCCAGAAAGGCUAUUCGAGCGUUGAUAGCUAAGGGUGCUGGGUCUGAUUCUUACCCAGGUCCUACAAAAUUGUUUAUGUUUGUAAAAGCUCCAUCUUCUUUCAAUCUGCCCCUGCAUUUUCUUCCAAAACGCGACUUCAGAUAUAGCAAAAAGAUAAUGCCUGUCAGACUGCAACUCAAAUGCAAAAGCCAAAAUCUAGAAAUGGAUUGUCCUGAUUGUGCUUGUCAAACAAGCAGUUCCAUCAAUUUGAAGGAUUCUGCUUCAAAUGAAUUUAUCUGGUUUCAGUGUCGACAUGUCGUGAAGGGCCUUGCAUUUGCAACUCCAACAGAAGAAUGAGAAAAUUUCCUUGCCAAUUUCAUGGGCAUUUAGAUUCAGAGCUUGAACAACGCGUGCAGGUAGAAGAACAGGGUAGAAAGCUGCAGUGAUGGCAGACUUUAGUGUACAAACUAAUUUUCUUAAUUCUUACUGAAGGUUUAGUUUGUAAUGUUAUGACCAGUUCAUUUGAUUUGCUUCUUCUUCUUCUUUGACUUAAUUGCAGUUGGUAAAUGAAGUAUAGCAGAUCUAUCUGUGAUUCUAACAUUCAAAUACAGUACCUGGCUUCUUGCUGGAUUGCAGCUAAUGGUUUCUUAUUGGAAGAGGGAGGGGAGAGAAUGUCAAUGUCAAAUCCUUCAGAGAUCCAAAUGAUCAACUUUUAACUUGUCACAAGAUUUUGAUCCCAAAGGUUACGAAGAGUGAGCCCCAUUUAGGUAGGAUUCAUUACUAAUGAGAAGCACUAUGACAAUAGUUAUAAACGAGUUCCUAUAACUGAUAACAACAGCUUGAAUAUAUAAUUCGGCACUUACUUUUUAUAUGAAAAAGUAAGUUAUCGUUUAA